rnacentral:lncRNA from 1 species
UUUUUUUCUUUUCUUUUCCUUAAUAUUUUCCCCUUUUAUUUCAUUUUCACUCAUUUAUUUUAUUUAUUUAUUUUAUUUUUCUUUUAAUUUGUUUACCUUUUAUUUCUUUAAAAAAAUCAUUUCUAUUUUUUAUUUUAUUUUAUUUUAUUUCUUUUUAAUUUCUAUUAUUUAUUUAAUUUAUCACAUUUUCUUUUAUUUUGUUU